UUCUGUCUAUCCACAUGGAUGAUCAAAUUGAUGGUAAAACCUUAAUGGGAAGUUAUGUUUGUACCGAGCAACCCGGUGAAUUUAGAUGGCAGCCCGGGUGACUUACCCAGGCUGUUCAGAAUGGAUUUUGGGUUGUAUUUGAGGAUGUUGACAAAGCACCAUCUGAUGUGCAAUCCAUCAUACUACCUUUGCUGGAAGGUGCAAAAUCAUUUUCAAAUGGGCAUGGGGAGGAAAUAAUGGUGGCAGAAAGUUUUUGACUAUUUUCCACAAUUUCAACUUCUAGAUUUGAUAUAUCACACAGUUCAGAAGGAAUACUAAUGGCUGUUUGAUUGGCAUGGUGGGAAUGGGUUUGAAGAAAUUCACCUAACCCUGCCUGUUGCCUUCCAAUGUGGAAAACUUGGUGUUUUUUGGAGGAAAAGUGAUGAUUGUGCCUCCAAGUAAGGAAGACUUGCAAAAUAUAAUAAAAGCCUGGUAUCCAAAUUUAGAGCCAAUUUCUGAGAAACUCAUAGGACCCUUUGAAAGGGUUAACUCUUCUCCUGUACAUCAACCAGCGGGAUUCCACCCCAGAAAUUCUGCUGUUAGUUUUCUCAGCAGAUUCUCAUUAAGGGAUCUUCUUAAAUGGUGCAAGCGAAUCUUAGGUUUAGGCUUUAGCUUCAAUGGAGAUGGUUUGUCAGCUUGUGAGUGUAAUUACUGAGAUAUGGGUUCCCCCUGUUGGUGACCUAAAUGAGCUUAAGAGUAUUGCUCUACAAAGAUUUUCCAACCUAAACCAAUCGCACAUUGUAGAUGCUAUGCUAAGUUUUUGGGAAGGUCUCUGAUUCUAGGAAUUGAAGUUGCCAUCAAAUUAUGAAGUUCUUCUUCGGAAAGUGUUCGAUGAUUGUACUAAGGUAUUGCUCUCU